AACGAACGCUGGCGGCAUGCCUAACACAUGCAAGUCGAACGAGACCUUCGGGUCUAGUGGCGCACGGGUGCGUAACGCGUGGGAACCUGCCCUUAGGUUCGGAAUAACUCCCCGAAAGGGGUGCUAAUACCGGAUAAUGUCUUCGGACCAAAGAUUUAUCGCCUUUGGAUGGGCCCGCGUUGGAUUAGCUAGUUGGUAGGGUAAAAGCCUACCAAGGCGACGAUCCAUAGCUGGUCUGAGAGGAUGAUCAGCCACACUGGGACUGAGACACGGCCCAGACUCCUACGGGCGGCAGCAGUGGGGAAUAUUAGACAAUGGGCGAAAGCCUGAUCCAGCAAUGCCGCGUGAGUGAUGAAGGCCUUAGGGUUGUAAAGCUCUUUUACCCGGGAUGAUAAUGACAGUACCGGGAGAAUAAGCUCCGGCUAACUCCGUG
rnacentral:rRNA from 1 species